rnacentral:rRNA from 1 species
AGCAGCCGCGGUAAUUCCAGCUCCAAUAGCGUAUAUUAAAGUUGUUGCAGUUAAAAAGCUCGUAGUUGAAUUUCGGGACUAAUAUGUCGGUCGUACUUUGUACGUACUAGCAUUAUUGGUUUCUCCCUUCUGACGAACCACGAUGUCAUUAAUUUGGUGUCAUGGGAAAUCAGGACUGUUACUUUGAAAAAUUAGAGUGUUUAAAGCAAGCUCGCGCUUGAAUACAUUAGCAUGGAAUAAUGAAAUAGGACGUUUGAUUCUAUUUUGUUGGUUUCUAGGAUCGACGUAAUGAUUAAUAGGGAUAGUUGGGGGCAUUAGUAUUCAAUUGUCAGAGGUGAAAUUCUUGGAUUUAUUGAAGACUAACUACUGCGAAAGCAUUUGCCAAGGAUGUUUUCAUUAAUCAAGAACGAAAGUUAGGGGAUCGAAGACGAUCAGAUACCGUCGUAGUCU